CCUACGGGGGGCUGCAGUAGGGAAUAUUGGGCAAUGGACGAAAGUCUGACCCAGCCAUGCCGCGUGCAGGAUGACUGCCCUAUGGGUUGUAAACUGCUUUUCUAUGGGAAGAAACACUCAUACGUGUAUGAACUUGACGGUACCAUAGGAAUAAGGAUCGGCUAACUCCGUGCCAGCAGCCGCGGUAAUACGGAGGAUCCAAGCGUUAUCCGGAUUCAUUGGUGUUAAGGCGUGCGUAGGCGGCCGAGGUGAAAUCUUGCGGCUCAACCGUAGAAGUGCCUUUGAAACUGGUAGUCUUGAGUUCGGUCGAGGUGGAUGGAAUGUGGCAUGUAGCGGUGAAAUGCUUAGAUAUGACCCAGAACACCAAUUGCGAAGGCAGUUCACUAGACCGAUACUGACGCUGAGGCACGAAAGCGUGGGGAGCGAACAGGAUUAGAUACCCUGGUAGUC
rnacentral:rRNA from 1 species